rnacentral:tRNA from 1 species
GAGGAUAUAGCUCAGUGGUAGAGCGAAUGCUUAGAUGCACGAGGUCCUGGAUUCAAUCACCAGUACCUUCG